UGCAAAUUGGUGCUAGGGAGAUGAAAGUGCCAAGAUUUUCACUGACCCCAUGUCAGUUCCUUUCCUGUCUCUUUAAACUUCUCUCUCCCAGAUCUUGCGGAAGGCUGUGCACAGGGAGCGGGGCUCUCUACUGAAGAGAAGGAAUUGGUCCCUUCUGCAAAACUUUGUUAUUACUUCCCAGCAGAUAAAACUGGCAGGGAUGGAAAUUGUCAGAGGUGCCCAUUACAAGCAGCGCUUAGCAACUUUCUUUCUGUAAAAGAUGUGCUCCCAGCUUGCUAACCUUUGGUUUUAUUGAUCUCUUUUUAAAUACAGAUCUGAAUUGUUGCUGAACCCUGAUCAGCGGCUGUCUCUGUUCCUCGCCCGGGCUGAGGGUGAAGCUGAGGCGUUAAAGACAUCCUGGGAAGAGUGUUACUGGCACAAGGGGCCAGCCAGAAAUCCCUGCCGGGCUCUUCACCCUGUUCCUGAAUUCUCCCAUUGGCAGGCGUGUGCGCACGGAGCACGCAGGCAGCGACCCCCGGCCCCAGUGCAUUUCCUAUCGAUUGGAUGCAGACAAUCACUCCCAGACCAGAACAGAGAUGCUUGUCACAAGGACAAUCGCUGUGUUCCUGGGGGAAGGAGCAGUCCAGGCAGUCGAGCCUCCCCGCCUCACCCCCAAGGGAAAAGCGGCAUCCCUGAAACCCAAGAGAGGAAGGUGCCCAGUGCAUCCCGGGACUUUUAUCCCUCCGCUCAUCCUUGUCUAAUGAAAUGGUACCUAUUUGAAGUGAAAUGAAUGGCCCCCGCGCUCACACCACUGCACCGAGCAGCGCCCAGCCCCGCGCGGCACCUGCCAGUCGAGCCCGCCGCCUGCCUGAGCCCGCUCCUCGGCCGGGGCACGACGGGGUGGGGGCACCGCUAUCCCGGCACUCGGGUUCGGGGCCCCGGUUCCCAUGGGCGGGAUGGGCACCUGCCCCUUCUCCGCCCGUCCCGCCCUGCCCUGCCUGGCUUGCUCUCUCUCUCUCUCCC